UACGGGGGGAGCAAGCGUUGUUCGGAUUUACUGGGCGUAAAGGGCGCGUAGGCGGUCAGCACAAGUCAGUUGUGAAAUCUCCGGGCUUAACUCGGAAAGGUCAACUGAUACUGUGCGACUAGAGUGCGGAAGGGGCAACUGGAAUUCUCGGUGUAGCGGUGAAAUGCGCAGAUAUCAGGAGGAACACCGGUGGCGAAGGCGGGUCUCUGGGCCGUAACUGACGCUGAGGAGCGAAAGCAUGGGGAGCGAACAGG
rnacentral:rRNA from 1 species